CGUGGGUAACCUGCCUCAUACAGGGGGAUAGCAGCUGGAAACGGCUGAUAAAACCGCGUAAGCGCACAGCAUCGCAUGAUGCAGUGUGAAAAACUCCGGUGGUAUGAGAUGGACCCGCGUCUGAUUAGCUUGUUGGUGAGGUAACGGCCCACCAAGGCAACGAUCAGUAGCCGGCCUGAGAGGGUGACCGGCCACAUUGGGACUGAGACACGGCCCAA
rnacentral:rRNA from 1 species